GAUGAACGCUGGCGGCGUGCCUAAUACAUGCAAGUCGAGCGAACGGACGAGAAGCUUGCUCUUCUGAUGUUAGCGGCGGACGGGUGAGUAACACGUGGAUAACCUACCUAUAAGACUGGGAUAACUUCGGGAGACCGGAGCUAAUACCGGAUAAUAUAUUGAACCGCAUGGUUCAAAAGUGAAAGACGCUCUUGCUGUCACUAAUAGACGGAUCCGCGCUGCAUUAUCUAGUUGGUAAGGUAACGGCUUACCAAGGCAACGAUGCAUAGCCGACCCGAGAGCGUGAUCGGCCACACUGGAACUGAGGCACGGUCCAGACUCCUGCAGGGGGCAGCGGUAGGGAAUCUUCCGCGAUGGGCGAGAGCCUGACGGAGCAACGCCGCGUGAGUGAUGAAGGUCUUCGGAUCGUAAAGCGCUGUUGUUAUGAAAGAACAUAUGUGUAAGUAACUGUGCACAUCUUGACGGUACCUAAUCAGAAAGCCACGGCUAACUACGUG
rnacentral:rRNA from 1 species